rnacentral:tRNA from 2 species
GCUGUCGUAGCUCAAAUGGCAGAGCAGCCGUCUUGUAAUCGGCAGGUUGAGGGUUCAAGUCCCUCCGGCAGCU